rnacentral:rRNA from 1 species
GAUGAACGCUGGCGGCGUGCUUAACACAUGCAAGUCGAACGGACGGAGGGAGCUUGCUCCCAAAGUUAGUGGCGGACGGGUGAGUAACGCGUGGGUAACCUACCCUAUGCAGGGGGAUAACAUUUGGAAACAGAUGCUAAUACCGCAUAACCUAAGAGUUUCGCAUGAAACACUUAGCAAAGAUUUAUCGGCAUAGGAUGGACCCGCGUUGGAUUAGCUAGUUGGUGAGAUAAUAGCCCACCAAGGCAACGAUCCAUAGCCGGCCUGAGAGGGGGAACGGCCACACUGGGACUGAGACACGGACAGGACUCCUACGGGAGGCAGCAGUGGGGAAUAUUGCACAAUGGGCGCAAGCCUGAUGCAGCGACGCCGCGUGAAGGAUGAAUGUCUUCGGAUUGUAAACUUCUAUCAGCAGGGAAGAAUACCAUGACGGUACCUGACUAAGAAGCCCCGGCUAACUACGUGCCAGCCGCCGCCGUAAUAC